UGGAACAGCAAUCUCAUUUCAUGUUCUUUUUCUCUUCGUUUUCAAGAAGUUCCUCUAACAAAUUAUCGUCCAAGCACUCAAAUUCCACUACCCGUUUAUCGCCGCCUUGCUUCUUCGGUGACGAAGAAACAGAAGAAGACGGCAACGGCAAAGAACUGGCCGCCGUACAUCCUAAAGAGAAUUCAUUAGGGAAGUUGAGGAUAGCAGUGUGACCUCUCAUGGCGUAUGCGGCACGGUCGUAGGCCCGAGCCGCUUCCCCGGCGGUGCCAAAUGUCCCGAGCCAAACCCGAGCGCCACGCCUCGUGGAGUCACGGAUCUCGGCCGCGUAUUUCCCCCAUGGCCGCCUCCGGACGCCUUUGUAUCGCACUUGAGGCGAUCGAGACGAACGGGUAAACACACGAGGUGGCUGAGAACAGCCGCACGUGCCUUAGAAGAAAGUUCUAAAAAGAAAGCCAUCGACGGCCCGAAAGGUCGCUGUGUGGUGAAGGCGACGGCUCUUUCAACUGCAGUGAACCACACCCCCCCCCUUUGAAUUCUUCCAUGCGUCCCUUCAGUUCUGCAAAAUCGUUUGGACUUUUCAGCGGCAUGUCUGGAUUGAUGAUGACAUGGAGAUUACUUAGGACGAUUAAUCCUGCUUUGUCUCCCUAUUUGUUCUUUCUAAGAUCAUUCCUCCCAAGGGGUGAAAAUUAGCACAUUCUGCAGGGACAUCUUUGUGGAAAACACUCGAAUGAAGAUGUGACCUUCUGGUCACUUAGAUCAUGAUCUACGUACUUUAUUGUUUGAAUGUAAUUUUACACUGAAGAUGCACAGUUAUUUGAUUUUUCGUCAUAAGAAGUGAUCAUAUUUAUCAUGUUAAAGUAAA